UGGGUUUAGACCGUCGUGAGACAGGUUAGUUUUACCCUACUGUUUAUAUUAUUAAGAAAAGUUAUAUAGUACGAGAGGAACAAUAAGUGAUGACCUCUGGUGUAGCGAUUAAUUAUUCAAUUAUGUUGCAAAACUACGUCAUGAAUAAUAAAUGCUGAAAGCCUCUUAAGCAUGAAGUUAAUCUUAAUGAUAAACAACUGAGGAAUACUACCUCUCUGAAGAGUGGGACUGUAAGAAUGAAGGUGUAUACCGACAUUUUGAGGUUACCAUUUCGUUCUGUAUAAAAAUACCUUCACGUGGUACAGAAUGUAUUGAUGAUGUUUUUAUCAGUCUAAACAAAAUAAGUAAGUAAAUUAUAUUUUUUUUAUAUUCAUAUUGUGUAUUGUUGUUUUAAUUUUGAUUAUUAUAUUUUAUCAUUUCUUUUUUACCAUUAUUUUCUAGUUGUGUUAUCGUAUUUUCACUUAUAAAUAAGUUGUAAACACCAGGUUGAUUCUGCCUGACGUAGACGCUAU
rnacentral:rRNA from 1 species